CAAAGAGGGUAAAAACCCCGUAGACGAAAUGUGGAAGACACCUAGGAGGAUCCUGAGUACGGCGGAACACGAGAAAUUCCGUCGGAAUCCGGGAGGACCAUCUCCCAAGGCUAAAUACUCCCUAGUGACCGAUAGUGAACCAGUACCGUGAGGGAAAGGUGAAAAGCACCCCGGAAGGGGAGUGAAAUAGAACCUGAAACCGUGUGCCUACAACAAGUCAAAGCCCGUUAAUGGGUGAUGGCGUGCCUUUUGUAGAAUGAACCGGCGAGUUACGAUUGCAUGCGAGGUUAAGUUGAAGAGACGGAGCCGCAGCGAAAGCGAGUCUGAAUAGGGCGUUUGAGUAUGUAGUCGUAGACCCGAAACCAUGUGAUCUACCCAUGUCCAGGUUGAAGGUGCGGUAAAACGCACUGGAGGACCGAACCCACGUACGUUGAAAAGUGCGGGGAUGAGGUGUGGGUAGCGGAGAAAUUCCAAACGAACUUGGAGAUAGCUGGUUCUCUCCGAAAUAGCUUUAGGGCUAGCCUCGGAAUUGAGAAUGAUGGAGGUAGAGCACUGUUUGGACUAGGGGCCCAUCUCGGGUUACCGAAUUCAGAUAAACUCCGAAUGCCAUUCAUUCAUAUCCGGGAGUCAGACUGUGAGUGAUAAGAUCCAUAGUCGAAAGGGAAACAGCCCAGACCACCAGCUAAGGUCCCAAAAUAUAUGUUAAGUGGAAAAGGAUGUGGGGUUGCACAGACAACUAGGAUGUUGGCUUAGAAGCAGCCACCAUUUAAAGAGUGCGUAAUAGCUCACUAGUCGAGUGACCCUGCGCCGAAAAUGUACCGGGGCUAAACAUAUUACCGAAGCUGUGGAGUACACCUUUAGGUGUAUUGGU
rnacentral:rRNA from 1 species